AGAAGCCAAUGGCAUGAGAUGGGAGCAGGGAAGUUCCCAACACCCUGAUGUCUUCACACAGUCUGGUCUUGACAAAGUCUUAGAGGAUACAGGAUGAAGAGGAGAUCAGAAUCAUAUGGAUCAUUCAGACAGGUUAUCAGGUGCCUCCUUUCAAAGACAGGAAGUGGCAUUAG